rnacentral:tRNA from 232 species
GGAGAGAUGCCCGAGUGGUUAAAGGGGACGGACUGUAAAUCCGUUGGCUCAGCCUACGUUGGUUCAAAUCCAACUCUCUCCACCA